AUGUCUCUGGAUCUUACGGGAGGGGAUCCGCGCGCGCCCAUCCUCUUACCCCCCCAUUCUCCCGCUUUGAUUCCGGCGUGGAUCCGUGACUUCUCCGCCCCCCAGGUGGACUCAAGGUCGAGCCCCGUCCUGCGACGCCCCGCUGCCGUGGCGAGACCCAUCCUGCCGCCGCAACGCUGCCCCACCUCCUCCCCUUCUUCGCCCAGAUCCAAAAGGGCACAUGGUGCAGCCCCCGUCUCCUCUGCCCUGGAUCCAUGGAGCCCGUUGUGUCACGAGAGGCCCCCUCUCCUCUGUCGCGAGCUCGGGCCAACCAUUACUCAGCCACACGCCGGUGCCUUCCUCCUCCAAGGACCCGAUGCCGGCGCCAGUUCACCCAUCCUCCUACCCGCCUCUCCUAGCCGCCAGUGUGUGGGACGACGCUGGAUGGGGGCCGGCGCAUCCGUGCGGGCGUGCAGUUUGCCGGCGUGGCACGUGUGGUACACUGGUUCCGGUUAUGCUGUUCACCGGCGUACUCCCCUAUCCAACAGAGAGUGA
rnacentral:rRNA from 1 species